rnacentral:rRNA from 1 species
GAUGAACGCUAGCGGGAGGCCUAACACAUGCAAGCCGAGCGGUAUUUGUUCUUCGGAACAGAGAGAGCGGCGCACGGGUGCGGAACACGUGUGCAACCUGCCUUUAUCUGGGGGAUAGCCUUUCGAAAGGAAGAUUAAUACCCCAUAAUAUAUUGAGUGGCAUCAUUUGAUAUUGAAAACUCCGGUGGAUAGAGAUGGGCACGCGCAAGAUUAGAUAGUUGGUGAGGUAACGGCUCACCAAGUCAAUGAUCUUUAGGGGGCCUGAGAGGGUGAUCCCCCACACUGGUACUGAGACACGGACCAGACUCCUACGGGAGGCAGCAGUGAGGAAUAUUGGACAAUGGGUUAGCGCCUGAUCCAGCCAUCCCGCGUGAAGGACGACGGCCCUAGGGGUUGUAAACUUCUUUUGUAUAGGGAUAAACCUACUCUCGUGAGAGUAGCUGAAGGUACUAUACGAAUAAGCACCGGCUAACUCCGUG